AGAAAUAACAUAAAGAAGAGUAUAUGGAAAUGGACCCAGAGGAGCAGGGGAAGAUAACAGAUAGAGGAAGGGACGAUGAUGAAAAUGUAAAUAGAGGAAAUAGGCGUUGUUGAAUUGUUAUGAGAAGAGGUAGAGGGAAGGAGACGGCGGAGAAAGAAAAGAAAUAACAUAAAGAAGAGUAUAUGGAAAUGGACCCAGAGGAGCUUGUGAAGAUAACAGACAGAGGAAGAAACGAUGAUGAAAAUGUAAAUAGAGGAAAUAGGCGUUGUUGGAUUGUUAUAAGAAAAGGUAGAGGGAAGGAGACGGCGGAGAAAGAAAAGAAAGAAGAGUAGAUGGAAAUGGACCCAGAGGAGCAUGGGAAGACAACAGACAGAGGAAGAAACGAUGAUGAAAAUGUAAAUAGAGGAAAUAGGCGUUGUUGGAUUGUUAUAAGAAGAGGUAGAGGGAAGGAGACGGCGGAGAAAGAAAAGAAAGAAGAGUAGAUGGAAAUGGACCCAGAGGAGCAUGUGAAGAUAACAGAUAGAGGAAGAAACGAUGAUGAAAAUGUAAAUAGAGGAAAUAGGCGUUGUUGGAUUGUUAUAAGAAGAGGUAGAGGGAAGGAGACGGGGGAGAAAGAAAAGAAAUAACAUAAAGAAGUGUAGAUGGAAAUUAAUCCAGAGGAGCAUGGGAAGAUAACAGAUAGAGGAAGAAACGAUGAUGAAAACGUAAAUAGAGGAAAUAGGCGUUGUUGAAUUGUUAUAAGAAGAGGUAGAGGGAAGGAGACGGUUGAGAAAAGGAAGCUAGAAAAUAAAGAAGCGUAGAUGGAAAUGGACCCAGAGGAGCUUGUGAAGAUAACAGAUAGAGGAAGAGGCAAUGAUUAAAAUGUAGGUGGAAAUAGGUGGUUAAAGUAUUAUAGAAUUGCAAGAGGUAGAGGAAAUCAGUGAUGGAAGAGGUACACACAAGAAUUUGGAAAAAGAAGUGGGAGUAGGAGGAGGAGGAGGAGGUGGUGAGGGUGGAAGAAGAGGUAUAUAAUGAUGAUAAUAUGAAAAGAGAAAAUAGAUGUUGAAUUAUUAUAUUCUUACAAGAGGUGGAGUGAGGGAAAAAGAGAUGAAAGAAGUACAAAAUAGAUGGAGAAAACACAAAGCAACACAAAGGAAGAACAAACAACAGCAGUCCUGAUGGUCCUUACGAAGCUGUUUGUGACAAGCUACACUAACUAUCUAAUCAAAGGUGGAAGAUGAAGGAUAGCAAGUAGCAAGCAAAGUACGAGAGUGAGGAGGAGGUGGGGAUGGAGGAAGAUGAUGAUGACAAUGAUGAUGAUGAUGAUGAUGAUGAUGAUGAUGAAGGAGCAGCAGGAGGGGUUGGGCCACAGGGUCAUAUUUUUAAACCAAUCCGGCGCCCAGGCACACACAUUUAACAAGGCUUUCGUAGGUGUUUUGGGCGUUUCUAGGGAUAGUUUUAUGACCCUGGUGGUAGUGUGACCCUUCUAUAUCAUGAACCAAAUAGAGCACUCAUUAGAACCCGACUGAUCUCCUUUUCGGCCUUUGGGAAUUGAUGUUAUGAGACGAAAUGCUUAAGAAUACGGUCCACAUAUCCCUCGCCGCCACCUUGCCGCCAGCCUUAAUUAGCACCCGACCUGCGCCGCGCCGGGGUGCUGCUGCGCUUCCCUAAGGUCGUCACAUUCCGCGGCGACGCCAGGACCGUUUAGGCAACACCACGACGACCCUGUAGGCAACGGCAUGAGUCUUUAGGUUAAUAGACGGCGUGUGUUUGAGGCUUGGGUGCUCCCUGCGUUCACCUGUCUGAGUCUUCCUGCUCCGUUUCUCGUCGCCAGUUUGGUAAUAAUGGUAACAAUAAUAAUGGUAAUAAUGAUAAUGGUAACAAUAAUAACGGUUGCUAAUAAUCAUAACGCUCACUACCAUACACCGGAAUCGAGCCAGUGCUUUGGCGCCUUUACCCUCCUCGCCACCCUGCCUCCGUAA